UACGUAGGGUGCAGGCGUUAAUCGGAAUUACUGGGCGUAAAGCGUGCGCAGGCGGCUUGCUAAGACAGGUGUGAAAUCCCCGGGCUUAACCUGGGAACUGCGCUUGUAACUGGCAAGCUUGAGUGUGGCAGAGGGGGGUGGAAUUCCACGUGUAGCAGUGAAAUGCGUAGAGAUGUGGAGGAACACCGAUGGCGAAGGCAGCCCCCUGGGCUAACACUGACGCUCAUGCACGAAAGCGUGGGGAGCAAACGGG
rnacentral:rRNA from 1 species